UGGGGAAUAUUGCACAAUGGGCGCAAGCCUGAUGCAGCGAUGCCGCGUGAGGGAAGAAGGUUUUCGGAUUGUAAACCUCUGUCAUCAGGGACGAAAAAGGACGGUACCUGACGAAGAAGCACGGCUAACUACGUGCCAGCAGCCGCGGUAAUACGUAGGGAGCAAGCGUUAUCCGGAUUUACUGGGUGUAAAGGGCGUGUAGCCGGGAGGGCAAGUCAGAUGUGAAAUCCACGGGCUUAACUCGUGAACUGCAUUUGAAACUGUUCUUCUUGAGUAUCGGAGAGGCAAUCGGAAUUCCUAGUGUAGCGGUGAAAUGCGUAGAUAUUAGGAGGAACACCAGUGGCGAAGGCGGAUUGCUGGACGACAACUGACGGUGGGGCGCGAAAGCGUGGGGAGCAAACAGGAUUAGAUACCCUGGUAGU
rnacentral:rRNA from 1 species